rnacentral:misc_RNA from 1 species
GAUGAAGAACGUAGCGAAAUGCGAUAAGUAAUGUGAAUUGCAGAAUUCAGUGAAUCAUCGAAUCUUUGAACGCACAUUGCGCCCGCCAGUAUUCUGGCGGGCAUGCCUGUUCGAGCGUCAUUUCAACCAUCAAGCCCCGGGCUUGUGUUGGGGACCUGCGGCUGCCGCAGGCCCUGAAAUGCAGUGGCGGGCUCGCUGUCACUCCGAGCGUAGUAGUUACAUCUCGCUCUGGGCGUGCUGCGGGUUCCGGCCGUUAAAUGCCUUAUUUACCCAAGGUUGACCUCGGAUCAGGUAGGAAGACCCGCUGAACUUAAGCAUAUCAAUAAGCGGAGGA